rnacentral:lncRNA from 1 species
GGCGUUGGCGCGUCUCUCUCUUUUUCUCUCACACAAUUAAGUCUCCUCAGUAGCUUUAAGGCGCUGCGAACCGCUUCGAGGUUUCCCCUUGAAUAGAGAAAGCGGUUGGUAUAGAAAGGAAAGAUGGAUAAUGGUAAUAGCCUUGGGUGAUUGAUUGAUUGAUUGAUUGAUUGGCAUUUAUGUCCCACCUUCCCUCCAUAGAAUCCUAGAGUUGGAAGAGACCACAAGGGCCAUCGAGUCCAACCCCCUGCCAAGCGGAAAACACCAUCAGAGCACUCCUGACAUAUGGUUGUCAAGCCUCUGCUUAAAGACCUCCAAAGAAGGAGACUCCACCACACUCCUUGGCAGCAAAUUCCACUGUCGAACAGCUCUUACUGUCAGGAAGUUCUUCCUAAUGUUUAGGUGGAAUCUUCUUUCUUGUAGUUUGGAUCCAUUGCUCCGUGUCCGCUUCUCUGGAGCAGCAGAAAACAACCUUUCUCCCUCCUCUAUGUGACAUCCUUUUAUAUAUUUGAACAUGGCUAUCAUAUCACCCCUUAACCUCCUCUUCUCCAGGCUAAACAUGCCCAGCUCCCUUAGCCGUUCCUCAUAAGGCAUCGUUUCCAGGCCUUUGACCAUUUUGGUUGCCCUCCUCUGGACACGUUCCAGUUUGUCAGUGUCCUCCUUGAACUGUGGUGCCCAGAACUGGACACAGUACUCCAGGUGAGGUCUGACCAGAGCAGAAUACAGUGGCACUAUUACUUCCCUUGAUCUAGAUGCUAUACUCCUAUACUCCAGUCCUGCCGCAUUUUACCUUCACAACAACCCUGUGAGGAAGGUCAGGCUGAGAAACUGACCGGCCCAAGGUGGCUGACGGGGGAUUUUGAACCCUGUCCUCGCAGGUCUCGGUCUGCGACUUCUGACCACUAAACCGCACAGGUUCCUCCUUGUGAAAAAUACACUCUUGUUUUCCCUUUCAGGAGUUUAUUAAUUAUGGCAUUCAUAACCUAGCCCCCCCCCCCCCCCAUCGGCACUUCACUUAAUUUCCCACAAGAACCCUGUGAGGCUGGGCCGGAUUUAGGUUUGAUGAGGCCCUAAGCUAUAUGUCCAGCUGUCCUUUGACAACAACAAAUUGUCCCUGCUUUUUGUGUUGAAUAUAUGCUAUAUGGUCAUUUAUGGGCCUAAUACAGUGAUGGCGGAACUUGGCCCUCCAGCUGUUUUGGGACUACAACUCCCAUCAUCCCUAGCUAACAGGACCAGUGGUCAGGGAUGGUGGGAAUUGUAGUCCCAAAACAGCUGGAGGGCCAAGUUUGGCCAUCACUGACCUAAUAGGUAUGUAUCUAAAGCCAUUUGCGCAUGUUGCCAUGCAACCCAUCCAUGCAGAAUGUAGGCACCCUUUAUAUAAAAAUGAGCAAACCAGUGAUACUUUAGGAAGAAAGCUAGCAGGCAGGGCCCAUUGCUUACAUCAGAUGAGCCUACACAACACAAAACACUGUUUUAUUUCACAGUCAUACCUUGUUACGUUUGCUUCAUGUUACGCUUUUUCAGGUUGCGUCCCGUGGCGACCCGGAAGUACUGGAAAGGGUUACUUCCGGGUUUCGCCGCAUGCACAGAAGUGCUAAAGCAUGCUUUGCACAUGCACAGAAGUGUCAAAUCACACUGCGCACCUGCACAGAUACGGCACUUCAGGUUGCAGGAUUUUCAUGUUGCGAACGGGCCUUCGGAAUGGAUCCCGUUCGCAACCAGAGGUACCACUGUAUUUGUUUUUUACCUUAUAUUUUGGAAAUGUACAUCCAGGUUUUUUUUCCUUUAAUUUUUUUGGGGCCCCCCCAAGAGUAGGGCCCCGAGCUAUAGCUUGUUUAGCUUAUAUGUAAAUCCGGCACAAGGUAGGUUAGGCUGUGACCGGCUCCCAUCGCCAGUGAGCUUUGUGGGGUAGGAUUUGAACCCUGGACUCUCUCCCAGGUCCCAGUACGGCACUCUAGAACUGCUGCACACCACCAUUGGCUCUCAACAUGUGAGGCACAACUUUGCCCCUUUUGCACCCCACAAAUUAUUUUUCUGGAGCCACCACUGAUUUGACAAACUUUUGGAAGCGGUGCCUGGAUUUCUGGCUGGGGGACAGGGAAGGAGGAGAGGGAAGUGUCAGAACAGGAAGGGAAGCAAGUGUAUAAAAUAGAUUUAACAUUUUAUUUUGCUUUGUGCUUCUGGAUGAUGGGGGCUUCUGAUGGGCUGGUAGGCCCCUGCACCCUUGCCAAAGUAAAUGGCAAGGGGCAGAGGCAGUAUACCACUGACUACCAGGGGUCGGGUGAGGAGAAGGAAGCACCCACACCACAGGGCUCUCUAGAGGCAAUCCGGUGCACGGAUGGACCGAUUCUCCAGUUGCACAAUCCUUUUAGUCCCAAUAUAGAAUUUUAAGCGCUUUCUGAGUGACAAUAUAGUAUUUAGGCACCGCUGCAGAACUAAACCACCACCUUGCAGAGAUGGUGUUGCCAAGAGGGGCACCUUUGCUCUAUGAAGUUCAAAGCAGCUUCGUCUUUAUCCCUUACGAACCUGGCGAAGUCAAAAGAGCAUGCAUUUCACUCUCUUUUGCCCUCGUGUUUUCUCUCUCUGGGCUUCCUUGAAGCUUCCAUCUGGAAUUAAGCACUUGGAGCCACUCUCCACAUUGUGCUUGAUGGAUGCAGGCUGCUCUCUGGUCUAUGCUUCCCUCUCCAAUUGUUUAUCAGCGACUAAACUGAAGUGGGGAUCCUGACCGGAUGGGUGCUGUAACCUGCUGGUUCCUGGAUCUGGUUAUUUGUUGCACAGGCUGUUCCGAGUUGCAUUGCACACUCCCCCUAAAGUAUCCAAAGUACCCAGUUCUGGAUCCCACCUUGUCAAUGGGUUCUCAGGUGGCCUCUGUGACACAAGUGCCUCUUGCCAGCUCUUGCUGCUACACCAGCUGCAGCUGUUCCUGGACAGGGAAAGCUUGACCAGUUAUUCAAGCCCAGGUCGCUUCUCAAUUUGACAGCUGUCAUGGGCUCUACCUGAAUGUGAAAGCAGGGUGCUAACGGGCCGGCAGCCCAGGUACGUUCAACACUAAUUCUGAAUCAUCUGCCAUGUCACAGAGGCCAAUUUAAGGUACAGUGGUACCUCAGGUUACAUACGCUUCAGGUUACAUACGCUUCAGGUUACAGACUCCGGUAACCCAGAAAUAGUGCUUCAGGUUAAGAACUUUGCUUCAGGUUGAGAACAGAAAUCGUGCUCCUGCGGUGCGGCAGCAGCAGGAGGCCCCAUUAGCUAAAGUGGUGCUUCAGGUUAAGAACAGUUUCAGGUUAAGAACGGACCUCCAGAACGAAUUAAGUACUUAACCCGAGGUACCACUGUAAUGCAACUUGGGACCCAGCUAUGAGCUGUGCAUAGUACUUUUUGUCUGUGCUGAAUAUUCUGAAUUUUAAACCAUGUUUUAGUUCGGGUAUACUGAGUUGUACUCUUGGCUUGCUAUAACUUGGCUUGCUAUAACCCACCUGAGAUGAAGGGCAGGAUAAAAAUCUUUUAAACAAGGUCUCUGCCCAACACCUUCUCACUCCAACUUAGACUUUUAACUGCAGACUUGGAGGCCUUAAUAUGAUAUCCAGUGUUUUUCCCCUCCUCUAUUUUAUUUAACACUGAUCCUGAAGAGCAGUUUUAAAUGAUUUUGUAGCAUAUUAUGGUUUCGGGCUAUUCAGCUAGUUUUUCUUAAAAAGCCAGUUUCAGAAGCACAAAAAUACAGCAUUUUAAAAAUAUAUCUAUAUAGCUACCCUGCUUUAUCUAGUCCCACAACCAGAGCUUUGUUCAAUGUCUAAUUGUUUUGAGAAGCAAAUUUUUGUAGAGUAGUACCAUCCUAUUAAAGCUGUUCACCCAGCUUUGGAUAAACUACACACAUUAGUAGCGAUCCCCAGAGAGGAUAAACUUUUUCAGCCCUUUUAGUUGGACUACAACUGUUCAGUUUUACCCAACUUCAUUUUCAUAUUUUCACAACAGCUAAGGUUGAGUGUUCUAAUGAAUUGCUAUAACCCAAAGUGUUCGCCAGCACUUUAAAGCAUUUUGCAAUUUAAAUGCAUCUACAUGGCUCAAGUUAUCCGAUAAAGGAUAAAUAUUUGAGAAUGUGUCUAUGUUUCUUGGCCACUGAAGAACAGGGUAGUAAUUUUACAACAAAGUAAAAUGGUUUUAGGCUCAGAUUAAUAGUUGCUGAAAGCAAUAUUAAGCAUGAUUACAUCUGACCAAGUUUUUAUCAUAAUGAUAACUUCUUUUAUUAUUAAAAUAUAUGAUCCAAGUUUGCUUUGAAGAAUCUUUACAGCACAUUAUGAAGCCAUUAUCUAUUGUUUGGACAUGAUGGCAGUUUUACAAAAUCAGUUAAAAAUAAAAUAAAGCCUAUGUUUAAAAACAUAACCUUUAUUAAUGCUCUUCAUCGAGCUUCAUUUGUAUCAUACAUUGAAAUAGCUCUGCUUAAGAAAAAGACAGAAAAAGUGCAUUUUUACAAGAGUACUUUUUCCUUUAGAUCUCUGUGAAAAUGGAAGGAACUGGAAUCAUAAGUUGAGAAACUGAUAAAAUGGAACUGCAAGAGACACCAGGCUUUAGCUACAUGACCAUUUCACUGGAGUCUCUCACUCAAGACCUUCAGGUUUUGUGAACUUUUAAUAUCCUGACAGUCUAGAGAAUCUGAGUUAUAACUCUACAGUAUAUUAACACAGAAAAGGCAGAAAACCCCUUUUCAAUGUACAAAGGUGAAUUUUAAAAAUUGAUUAAAAAAUCACUUU